GACGAACGCUGGCGGCGUGCUUAACACAUGCAAGUCGAGCGACGGUGUGAGAAGUGGUAACACGGAUUACAUACGUAGCGGCGGACGGGUGAGUACAACAUGAGAAGCUAUCCCAUAAAGGGGGACAACGUCUAGAAAUGGAUGCUAAUACCCCAUAGGCCGAGAGGUUAAAGCAGAGAUGCGAUAUGGGAGGUGCUCGUGUCCUAUCAGCUAGUUGGUGAGGUAAUGGCUUACCAAGGCGACGACGGGUAGCCGGCCUGAGAGGGUGACCGGCCACACUGGAACUAAGAGACGGUCCAGACUCCUACGGGAGGCAGCAGUGGGGAAUAUUGGGCAAUGGGAGAAAUCCUGACCCAGCGACGCCGCGUGAACGAAGAAGGCCCUUGGGUCGUAAAGUUCUUUUAUGUGGGAAGAAGGAAGUGACGGUACCACAUGAAUAAGCCCCGGCUAACUACGUGCCAGCCGCCGCCGUAA
rnacentral:rRNA from 1 species